GUGGAUUAGAUACCCUGGUAGUCCACGCCGUAAACGUUGGGCACUAGGUGUGGGGGAUUAUCAACGUCCUCCGUGCCGUAGCUAACGCAUUAAGUGCCCCGCCUGGGGAGUACGGCCGCAAGGCUAAAACUCAAAGGAAUUGACGGGGGCCCGCACAAGCGGCGGAGCAUGUUGCUUAAUUCGAUGCAACGCGAAGAACCUUACCUGGGUUUGACAUGUGGGGAAAAGCCGUAGAGAUACGGUGUCCUUCGGGGUCCCACACAGGUGGUGCAUGGCCGUCGCCAGCU
rnacentral:rRNA from 1 species